UCCCGAAUCAGUCUGUACCUGUUUUUGCCCUUCGCCAUCACGCACGCACGGGUUCGUAUUUGUCUUUGAAUGUUCUAAAUCUCUCUCUGAAUUAUCCUUAAUGCCUUGGAAGACCCAUUGUGUGGCCUAUGCAUUUAUCUCUGAGACAGUACUGCCCCCAUCAAAUGUGUGGGAAAGAUAUCAUGUGAUAUGAAAAGACUCUAAUAACUGAAGGUGAAUAUCAUACUAAGACAGUCUCGGGUAUGGAAAGGAUUUAUUGGC